AGGUCAAGAAAACGGUUUACACUGUGUUGCAUGUUGGUGAUGUAAUUCGAUUGGGCCAGUAGCUACCACCCCAUAUUGAAUUACUAGUUGCAGUGGUCACACAAAUCAAUGAACCUGACAGCAUAUAUGGGAUCAUCCAAUCACACAACGUGAAUUGUUUUAUCAAUCGUUGCAUGAAUUUUGUUUUGGUUUUGUACUACCACCCCACAUUAUUUCUUCAAAAUGUUAGCAAGUAUGAAUAGCUAGGAGGCAGGAGCAGGAGCACAAAUCAAAAACACAAUUCAAAGUGACAGUGGCACCUGGGUAGAAAAUUUAGCAGCCGAGGUUGUGCAGAUUUUCUGGUAGUGUAGCAAAAAACUGGCGAUUUAGCGGCAUCCAGCACAAUUGUCAGUAAAGGUCCUGACCGCCGGUAAAGCCUUUACCGACUGAGGCUUUACCGGCUGUUAGCU